UAUAGGAUAUAGGUAGUACAAAUUUUUUAUAAAUAAAAUUAGAGACAAAUAGUGGGUAUGACUGGAAAAGAACGAAGAGCCUUCGGGGUUUCAGCGCGCGAGCGAGACCGAUCGCCAUCGCUGACUUGCUUCAGCGCUCAGACCAGCCCGUGCCGUCCGGCUGAACACAACUGUAAGACAGUUUCAUAAUAAUAUACUCGUAUACACAACUGUGAGUGAAAAACGGACACAAUGCACACUACAUAAGAAGCAUUUUCUAAUGGCGGACUAUGAGAAGAAAAAUUAAAUAAAGUAACAUAGAAGCUUAUAAUCAAAGCAUACAAGAUUUUCACCUCGUGUGUACAACAACAUGCUAUGAAAAGCGUAGAAGGUGAAGAUUAGACUAGUGGACCAUCAACACAAGGACUGGUGGCCUGAUUUGUCGGGUUUGAGAGGGAAACUAGCACCCCCACGUGUCGUGACAAAAAUGCCAGUAAGUACUACACAUACCUAUAAAGUUAAUAAAUAAUAACAUUAUGUACGAGAACAAAUUAUAGAAAAUUAUACAAUAUUUAAAAGCAAUAAGCAAGAAAUGUGAGCGCCACUGCUAGAGGGACCAUGGACACCAACCCAGUUUUUGUUGGAAUAGAAGCAUUCGCUUUAACUUUGACCUAAAUGAUGCAACUGAUUUCAAGUUACGCAAGCUUGGGUCUAGGCGGUUCCAACAGCAAGUAGCAUUGAAAGAAAACGAUGCUUUGAAUAUGGCGGUCUUGUGCUGAGGAGUGAGCAGCAGGUACGACGAGGCUCGCGUUCGGUGCAUGUUGAAGUCGCGGGACCACCUUAGUUUAUUAUAAAGGUAUUCAGGUAUGUGUCUAUGUACUAUGCCAAAUAAUAAACAUGCAAAAUGUAGGUACCGUC